rnacentral:sRNA from 1 species
UAAGUAACUUCUUAUCCUUUCGAAUGC